AUGGAGCACCCGCAGCCAGUCACCAUGCCCGGCCAUGGAGUCGAGACCGUCCUCGACGACCUUCCCGAGUCGAUCGUCGUCGACGAGAUCCUUGUCCGUUUGCCGGCCAGGGACAUCAUGCGCUGCCGCUGCGUCCGUAAGGGAUGGCGCAGUGCCACCUCCGCCGACAAGUUCAUGCUGGACCACCGCCGCCGCCAGCCCUUUCUCCCGGUGCUCGGUCACGCCGUGGAGCCGCAGACGGCGUCCCGCCUCUUGCUUUCCAUUGACGCCGGUGCAGGCCAGCAACAGCUCUGCCCCGUGGUCCGGACAUACAGCGGUAGACUCCUGGCUGCCCUUGAUGGGCUCAUCAUCGUCUCCCAUGGAUCCAUGAGUGUGCGAACUCCUUCGUCUCCUCCGGUAAAAUUCUUCAUCUGCAACCCGGUCACCCGUGAGUGUGCUCCCCUAGGGACGCCUCCAAGCCAGCAUGGAUUUAUGCACCACAUCGCAGGCUUGUAUCGGCACCAACCAUCCGGGGAAUACCGGGUGCUUUGGGUCUCUACUCCGAGGUACUUUGACAGAGCAGACACAGCAUACACCACAUUUUACUACGUCGCAGCAGUGGGAUCCAGUGACAUAAGAUGCAUCGCAGAAGGUAGCAUCGCACAGACAACACCCUUGGAAACGGCGUUGUGUAAGGGCCUGCCGGAUUCGUCGGGUUGUCCACCAGUCCACCACCGUGGUAGCCUGCACUGGGGACUUCCCGGCCGCUCAAUAGUGGUGUUCAACACAGCAGCCGAAACAUUCUGGUUGAUGGGUCGUCUAUUCCAGCUGUACUUCCACCAGUUGUUGGAGAUGGAUGGCACUCUUGCUUUGUGCAGCGUCAGUCCUGAACAAAUGACCGUAGAUGUUUGGGUGGUACAAGACUAUGGCGCCGAAACAACGGAGACCUGGUCUUUCAAGCAUCAGAUUAAUUUGUCGGGUGUUGACGAUCCAAUACCACGUUCAUGGGUGAUGAGGUUCCCCAGGAUGGUUGUGCUCAAUAACGGUGAGCUGCUAAUCCAAUUCAUUCGUGGUUGUGGGCCUGUGUUGCAUUGUGGCAUCGAUGGCAAGUUCUUAGGAUAUGUGAAAAGCAAGGAUGGCCAAGUAAUCGGCUUGUGGAUUACCAAGCAUUACCUCCAGGAGAGCCUUAUUCCCCUUCCACUAUCCCGUGAGAUGAGAGAAGAAGAUAGUGCAACUCAGGGGCCUCCAUUUUUUGUAGGGCUCUAA
rnacentral:rRNA from 1 species